GGGAGAGCAUUCAGUGGCUCCACCUGGCGGUGUAUGAGGAUGAAUGAGACGGAUGCAUUUGAGGGCUGCUCUGGGGGAGGCCGCUGCUCUUUCGUGAUUUGAAUCCCGUGCAGUCCCUGGGCUCCUCUGCCGCUCUUGCCUCUUUGUAUCCCGGUAUUUGGCCCUUAGCAGGCACUCCCAGGAGCUGCUGGAACAGGCUGAGUCCUGGCGCUUAUCCGAGCUGUCUUGUUUGCACGCGCUCGUCUCCCACCCACUCACUGGUGAGCUCCGCAAGAGUGUACUUCUCUCCGUUCCUGGAGCGCCACGGCGUGCUGGUGCAUAGUAAGCAUCUGUCCAUGUCUGUCCAGUUGAAUUUCUUGAGAGUCAUUUGACCUUCUCAGCAGCUCUGGAGAACCCACAUUGACCAGAAACUUUGCAGCCAGCUCACCCCUCCAACUCCCCGCCCUGGAGUCCCUGACCCAGGAAUUUCUGCAUCAGGCUGCUCAAACCUGAAUUCGACAAAAUUUCAAAGCGCUGUAUCUUUAUGUUGAUAAGACAACAGAUAAAGUGCCAUACUUCGAACCUAGAUCACUCGAUGUUGCCUGUAGCUGAGUCCACUUCUGUCACUCACCCUGCAUUGCCCUGCUAGGAGCAAGGGAGAGAAAGCCAGCCAGAAGGCAUGGGCUCAAAUCUGUCUCCUCCUGUGGCCACUGUGAAAGUUGAUCAUACAAAGGACACUGUUGUCAUAGCCAAGCAGAGUUGAGACCAUGGGAAAAAGCACUUGGACCACGUAACAUUGCUCCAAGAGUAUAACUGUCUCCAACCCUGGCUGCUGGAACAAGUGUUGCAACCUGAAACCGGUUUGAUCUAAUAGCUACAGAAACAACCUGCGGAAAUCUAAGACUAGUUUCACCCACUCACCAAUCAGAGCUUGCCGGAUCCCCAAAACGUUGCUAGUGCUAAUGAACUUGCUUUCCUAACAAUCCAUACCAUUUCUCAUUUUUAUGAAACCUACAACCUUCUCUUUGCUCUUUGGACAUACUGAAGACCACCCAGUCUGUGUGUAUGCCCCAAACUGAAAUUCUUGCUCCCCAAAUAAAACAUUUUAAA